AUUAGAUACCCGAGUAGUCCGGCUGAAUGACUCUUACACCAAGUAUCUCGCAUGCCGUCUUCUGCUUGAAAAAAAACCCGCAGCUUAACUGUGGGACUUGCUGGAGAUACUAUUAGACUUGAGGUCGGGAGAGGUUAGGGUUACUCCCAGGGUAGGGGUGAAAUCCUAUAAUCCUGGGAGGACCAUUUGUGGCGAGGGCCGGCAACUGCCGAGAACCUCACGAUGGGUAUCGUGAGCCAGGAGCGCCAGUAG
rnacentral:rRNA from 1 species